rnacentral:lncRNA from 1 species
AUUUUUAUUACCGUCUCAUUUUCAAUCUCCCUCCAUUAACCUUACCCUAAUUUUCCAUCCCCAAAAUUCAUCCGCUGGUUAUCGUUUUCCCGUUUUCGUAAGCCUACGCACCACCAUCUAGCCUCCACCGAUGGAUUUUGCUAAUUGCACCCCGCUGUUGUUGUCGUCUUGCUUAGCCGUCGCUACAAUCCAUGCCAUCGAGCAUAUCUGGGCAAAUCUAGAUAACGAUGUUGCGGUCAGAUGUCAAUAAUGAUAGUUGCAACUAGGAAAUUUGAUUCAACUUUGGUGGCUAUGGGCUAUCUUUGUUUGUUAUGAUUCACCAUCUAAGGUCAACACAUUAGUAAUUCCCCUGAUAGUGGUGGCGAUGUGAGUGAAGAUCCAAAAUCCAACUAUGGGUUUCAACCUCUAUUGGAAAUAGAUUUGCAAUGGAGGAUUUAUCCGAGGCAAGAAUCAACGGUGCAUAUACUGAAACCAUUGGUCUCUUUAGAGUCUUCAAUGGUCAUGACGGUGCAAGGGCAUAAUUAUCCCCACAUUCUUCUUAUGCAAAUUGGCAACACAUUUUGUCAACUUUUUUGUGGGUCAAUAAAGCCUUGAGUACUUGAUAUUGAAGGCUUGAAAAGGAAAUUGUCUAUCAUGUUUGCUGAUAAUUCGCCUAAUAUGCAACCUACCUAAUUAACAGGUCAUGGAUAUCUCAAUAUGUUGUAGAACGCUACAAGAUGGAAGAACCGACCUUUCAGGCUGUAAUGAAUAAAGAGAGGCAUGCAUAGCUUUAUGGUAGAUGCGUUACAAAUAUGUUGAUAAAAAGUAGAUAGUUUUUGCAUAUCGUCCAUGAUUUUGGAGGGGCUGAUGAAAUCAUUUAAAGAAAACAUUGAAGUUGAGAAAAAGUGGUUGCUGGAAAUGCAUCAAGAGAUUGAAGAGGAUCAUGAAAGAAAAAAAAAUGUCAACUUCAAGUUAUGCAAAAAGAUGUUAACAACCAAAGAGAAGACUUGGAAGCUAUGAUGCGGAAGGUUAUGUAACAAGUGCCAGUUCGAUCGAUCGAGAUGGUAGAAUAUUAUUCAUCACCCAUUAUUAUUGUAAUUUACACAUUGUGUUUACCAUAUUAUUAUUUGAGUUUGGACAAGUAUAUCAAAGUACGUUAGUUGACUAUCAG